rnacentral:rRNA from 1 species
AUUAGGAAUUGGCGGGGGAGCACCACAACGGGUGGAGCCUGCGGUUUAAUUGGACUCAACGCCGGGCAGCUCACCGGAUAAGACAGCUGGAUGAUAGCCGGGCUGAAGACUCUGCUUGACUAGCUGAGAGGAGGUGCAUGGCCGUCGUCAGUUCGUACUGUGAAGCAUCCUGUUAAGUCAGGCAACGAGCGAGACCCACGCCAACAGUUGCCAGCAUGUCCUCCGGGAUGAUGGGGACACUGUUGGGACCGCCUCUGCUAAAGAGGAGGAAGGAAUGGGCAACGGUAGGUCAGCAUGCCCCGAAUUAUCCGGGCUACACGCGGGCUACAAUGGUCAGGACAAUGGGUAUCGACACCGAGAGGUGGAGGCAAUCUCCUAAACCUGUCCUUAGUUCGGAUUGUGGGCUGCAACUCGCCCACAUGAAGCUGGAAUCCGUAGUAAUCGCGUUUCAAAAUAGCGCGGUGAAUAUGUCCCUGCUCCUUGCACACACCGCCCGUCAAU